GUAAACGGGUUAUGUCAGUUCCCGUGUGAUAUACAGGAAAGGACGUUUACCAAUGGAGAUGUUGAUUUGGUUGCACCAAAUCCAUCCACAAUGCGGAUUAUGAAAGGGUAUAAACUACUCGCAGAGGAAAAAUGCAUAGAAAGAGACGGACAGUUUUUUCUCACCAUAUUCAGAGGCAAAUAUGUGUGUAACAAAUAUAUCGAAGUAUGCAACAAUGCCUUUGUUGUGUAUGGAACAAUUCCCCGAAAGUUUUAUAGGCGGCCAUCACUGUGUGAAGUAUGUAAAGGUCCAUAUAGAACGGGUCCGGGCCACUUAU